UACGGAGGGUGCAAGCGUUAUCCGGAUUCACUGGGCUUAAAGGGUGCGUAGGUGGUUUUGUAAGUCAGUGGUGAAAUCUCCAAGCUUAACUUGGAAACUGCCGUUGAUACUAUAAAUCUUGAAUGUUGUAGAGGUGAGCGGAAUAUGUCAUGUAGCGGUGAAAUGCUUAGAUAUGACAUAGAACACCAAUUGCGAAGGCAGCUCACUACACAAAGAUUGACACUGAGGCACGAAAGCGUGGGGAUCAAACAGG
rnacentral:rRNA from 1 species